rnacentral:rRNA from 1 species
GCGCGAAAACUUUACAAUGCUGGCAACAGCGAUAAGGGAACCUCGAGUGCCAGGUUACAAAUCUGGCUGUCGAGAUGCCUAAAAAGCAUUUCAUAGCAAGGGCCGGGCAAGACCGGUGCCAGCCGCCGCGGUAACACCGGCGGCUCGAGUGGUAACCGUUAUUAUUGGGUCUAAAGGGUCUGUAGCCGGCCGGAUAAGUCUCUUGGGAAAUCUGGCAGCUUAACUGUCAGGCUUUCAGGAGAUACUGUCUGGCUCGAGGCCGGGAGAGGUGAGAGGGACUUCAGGGGUAGGGGUGAAAUCUUGUAAUCCUUGAAGGACCACCAGUGGCGAAGGCGUCUCACCAGAACGGACCUGACGGCAAGGGACGAAAGCUAGGGGCACGAACC